CCUAGCUCAAGCGAUCCUCCCACCUCAGCCUUCCGAGUAGCUGGGACCACAGGCACGUACCACCAUGCCUGGCUAAUUUUUUGUAUUUUUAGUAGAGACAGGUUUUUGCCAUGUUGCCCAGGAUGGUCUCAAACUCCUGAGCUCAAGCCAUCCACCCACCUCAGCCUCUCAAAGCGCUGGGAUUACAGGCAUGAGCCACCAGACUCAGCCUUGUUUCUCAUUUAUACAGGUAGCGAUUGGAGGCUCAGGAAGGGAAUUCAUUGCCCAAGGUUGAACACUCAGUGGGAGAAGCAGGCCAGGACACAAGCAGGAGGGGCUCCAAAGCUGAGUUUGUUGCUGCAGAGCCUUUCCUGAGGUUGGGGAGGGUGUCUGCAGAAGGAGGCUGGAGACUGCUGUAGAAUCACUACUACUGGUGACAUCGUUGUUCUUCUCUGACCUGACCCCUGAGUUGGUCAGACUUGGCCAUGUGGACAACCCCCUGCUUCUCCCACUCUCUGCUGCCCUAACCUGAGACUGGUUAUUCAAGUGUCUUCCUCACUGUCUCCCCCAAACAGGAAGUAUUUUUUGAUGCUCUUGCAUCUGGGGCUGACCCAACACUGCUCAUCCCAUGUGGUCAUUGCUGGCUUACAGUUUUUCUUCCCAGGGUCUCCCCAAGAGCUGCUUCCUUUGACUCCUGCUGUGUGUAGUUCUGCUGACAAUGACCUGGACAGCUCUGCGCCAUGCACAGCGUCUCUUUUCUCCGACUUACCAAAUUUUAGACACUACUGACUCCUCCAUGUGAAAGAUGGGAAUUCAGCUACAUCACAUUACCCUACAAACUUUAUUGUUAAUAUUUCUUCCCGGUCAGCCCCAAACACUGAAUGUAAAUACGGUCCAACAUCAACCUGCAAACGAACACUGACAUGAAAGUGCAGUUGGAAAGGAUCUCGCAAAGGAACAGAAUCUGGUGAUCCUAAUCGUAAUGAACGUGAUCGCCGGGUAUUGAGAGCUUGCAGGUACCAGGGCUCCGGCACUACGUGUUUCACAGGGGCCACUCGGUAGACCUCUUGGUGACCUUGAGGUCAGGUACCACGUUCCCAUUUUACAGAGGAGGAAACUGAGAUAACCUACGACAGCGAAAAGGUAGCAGAGCUGGGACUGGUGCCCAGGCUCGCCGAGUGGAAAAGCCCUCGGCCACCGUGGAGAGCUCGCUUCCUGUGGUCUGAAGCGUCGCCCCUGCACCGGCUUCUGCUGCCAAGGAUGGCUUUUCCUCACUGGUGCCCACCUACGCUCACUUGUGUCAUGUGGUUAAGCCCUUUUGGCAACAUAAGACCUUUCCCAAGAAUGUGCCUCGGUGCAGAGGAAGACGGUGGGGGCAGGCCCCCUCCCCGGGAUGCUCCACCCUCCCUGACCUCACACGGGUGCAACCUGGGCCGUGGCCGAGACCUGCUGUGUGGCAGACAAUGGGAAGCCUGUGUGUCGUCCUGGGUGCCGGAUUUAGACAAUAUUUAGCUUUCCCUUGGUGGAAAAGCCUUUCCCCUCCUGCUUUGGGCAGGAACUGGUUCCUGUUGGGCGGGGCCUGGCUGCUGCCCCACCCCCACCCGGCCGGGCACCUUGACCGGCAGCUCUCCGGGCUGCUCCCUGCCUGUGUCCCUGAGCACUGACUCCAGAGGUUUAAUCAUUAACGGGCACGUUUGGCCUUCGGUCGUGGGCUGGAAUUUGGGACCUGUGCCCGGGAACAAUGAUCUCCGACACAUUAUUUUGUGUAAAAUCACUUUUAGCUGCCAUUAGCUAAUAAAGCUGGAAUAAAGUGAGGUCCAUUAACCAGCA
rnacentral:lncRNA from 10 species